rnacentral:lncRNA from 1 species
GUUUCAACAAGGAGGACAAACACAACAGGAACAGGUGGUGAAGGAAGGUACAGGAAUCGCUGGAGGCAUGGCAGUAAAAGAAUCACAAAGCUGGCAACCCUUUAGAAACGUCUGGGCCAACAUCAAUAAUCCCAGAGCUGGAGCUCAGCCCUGAGAUCUCCUGCAGUUAUAUGCAACACAGCUGGCUCUCUGCUGAAGAUAAGGAUGGUUUUGCUGAGGUAAUAUGCAUUAC